ACAGGUGGUGCAUGGUUGUYGUCAGCUCGUGUCGUGAGAUGUUGGGUUAAGUCCCGCAACGAGCGCAACCCUUGAUYUUAGUUGCCAUCAUUWAGUUGGGCACUCUAAGGUGACUGCCGGUGACAAACCGGAGGAAGGUGGGGAUGACGUCAAAUCAUCAUGCCCCUUAUGACCUGGGCUACACACGUGCUACAAUGGACGRUACAAASRGYUGCMARMYCGCGAGAGGGAGCUAAUCYCAUAAARYCGUUCUCAGUUCGGAUUGUAGGCUGCAACUCGCCU
rnacentral:rRNA from 1 species